rnacentral:rRNA from 1 species
AUGGUCGACAAACCGGAGGGCCGCCGCAAUGCGCUGCCCUACAGUGAGAAUGCUUACCUGCUCACUCUCCGGACCAUGCUACACCUUUUACGUCGGCCACCUCGGGGAUUUGAGGAAUUCGUUAAGGAACACUUCGGCCAUCGGGGAAGGUUUGUGCUCAGGGCAUGCAACGCGUGGCUGCAGGGAAAUAUUGUCGACAAUGCUCAUGCCACUGAAGUGAGUAGGAAGCAGCCGUGCUCGGCUGGGUUAAGGCUUGCACUCACCAAGGUAGUGCCAAGCCUCGUGGCAGCCUUCAUAGAGAUCCGAGCCGAGGGGUGCGAAGAGUACCAGUAG